UUUGGCCCGCUCUACCUUCCACAUUUUUCACCUGAUUCAAACCGUUCCUGUCACACUUGGACUUGGAUUUGUUAUGCCUCUUCUACGCAAAGGAUGAUUUGCACAAGCCAGACAUGAAUGUACACUUCAACUGUGAGAGACAGAAUCCAGGAAUCCAGGAAUUCACAAUGACAAAGUCAAUGGAGGCGAGAGAAGGAAAAGGAGGAUGACGACGAGGAGGCGGUAAAAGCCAGCGCGAUGGG